CACAGUGGUGCAGUAAUACACUAAAAUUGGAAUGAUACAGAGAGGAUUAGCAUGAAUGUCUGUUCACAAGGGUGACACACACACUCAUGAAGUCUCCAUAUUUUU